rnacentral:rRNA from 1 species
CAGCAGCCACGGUAAUACGGAGGGUGCAAGCGUUAUCCGGAUUUAUUGGGUUUAAAGGGUCCGUAGGCGGACUUAUAAGUCAGUGGUGAAAGCCUGUCGCUUAACGAUAGAACUGCCAUUGAUACUGUAAGUCUUGAGUAUAUUUGAGGUAGCUGGAAUAAGUAGUGUAGCGGUGAAAUGCAUAGAUAUUACUUAGAACACCAAUUGCGAAGGCAGGUUACCAAGAUAUAACUGACGCUGAGGGACGAAAGCGUGGGUAGCGAACAGGAUUAGAUACCCGAGUAGUCCCUGUCUCUUAUAA